rnacentral:lncRNA from 1 species
UUGGUGGACAUCUCCAGUCUCCCUACCUCUGGGUGACUGAAACAUAUGAUGUCAGGUGCAAAGUGUUUUGCUUGUUGGGAUGACUCGUCCUACUCUGGAGCUGCCUGGGUGAUGGAAAGCCCCUGGAAGUCAGUAGUUGUUCUUUGAAACAGUUUGUCUAACUGCACGUGCUUUGAUGUCAGUGACGGGACUGACAAAUAAUUGAAUGCGAUCCCCCUGUAAAUCCACCAUCAGUGGACUAAUCUGCACAUGCUCCACGUGCACUCCCACCACAACCUCUACGCCGCCGGGAGUUUGAAUAUAUUUUCAUGAGGUGACCAGCAUGUUUUUAUAACACAAACAGAAAAUGCCUCCAAAUUACGCAUUAAUUAGGCUGAUUUAGCUUCAUACAAUUUCAUCCAAUCAAGUGAAUAAUUACAAGCAACUAAAAUUCAUACGUGUCACCUGGAAUCCACUGCACACAUACUUUCAACAGCAAAAUUCCAA